GUAGGUGGCAAGCGUUGUCCGGAAUUAUUGGGCGUAAAGCGCGCGCAGGCGGUCCUUUAAGUCUGAUGUGAAAGCCCACGGCUCAACCGUGGAGGGUCAUUGGAAACUGGGGGACUUGAGUACAGAAGAGGAAAGCGGAAUUCCGAGUGUAGCGGUGAAAUGCGUAGAGAUUUGGAGGAACACCAGUGGCGAAGGCGGCUUCCUGGUCUGUAACUGACGCUGAGGCGCGAAAGCGUGGGGAGCAAACAGGAUUAGAUACCCUGGUAGUCCACGCCGUAAACGAUGAGUGCUAAGUGUUAGGGGGUUUCCCGCCCCCCUUAGUGCUGCAGCUAACGCAUUAAGCACUCCGCCUGGGGAGUACGGCCCGCAAGGCUG
rnacentral:rRNA from 1 species